GCCCACAUAGCUCAGUGGUAGAGCACUUCCUUGGUAAGGAAGAGGUCACCGGUUCAAAUCCGGUUGUGGGCU
rnacentral:tRNA from 1 species